rnacentral:misc_RNA from 1 species
CGCACAUUGCGCCCUUCGGUAUUCCGUUGGGCAUGCCUGUUCGAGCGUCAUUAGAAACUUCAAGCUCAGCUUGGUGUUGGGUGCUUGUCCCCUCAUCAGGAGACUCACCUUAAAUACAUUGGCGGCCGGUAUGUUGGCUACAGCGCAGUACAACGCGUCUGGCGUCUUGAUAUACUGGUCCUCCAGAAGCCACUUCUUUUGCUUGACCUCGGAUCAGGUAGGGAUACCCGCUGAACUUAA